rnacentral:rRNA from 1 species
AUUGAACGCUGGCGGCAUGCCUUACACAUGCAAGUCGAACGGUAACGCGGGGCAACCUGGCGACGAGUGGCGAACGGGUGAGUAAUGCAUCGGAACGUGCCCAGUAGUGGGGGAUAGCCCGGCGAAAGCCGGAUUAAUACCGCAUACGACCUACGGGUGAAAGCGGGGGACCGCAAGGCCUCGCGCUAAUGGAGCGGCCGAUGUCAGAUUAGGUUGUUGGUGGGGUAAAGGCCUACCAAGCCUGCGAUCUGUAGCUGGUCUGAGAGGACGACCAGCCACACUGGGACUGAGACACGGCCCAGACUCCUACGGGAGGCAGCAGUGGGGAAUUUUGGACAAUGGGGGAAACCCUGAUCCAGCCAUGCCGCGUGCGGGAAGAAGGCCUUCGGGUUGUAAACCGCUUUUGUCAGGGAAGAAAUUGUCCGGGCUAAUACCCCGGGCCGAUGACUGUACCUGAAGAAUAAGCACCGGCUAACUACGUGCCAGCCGCCGCGGUAAGAC